rnacentral:rRNA from 1 species
UACAGGGGGUGCAAGCGUUGUUCGGAAUUAUUGGGCGUAAAGCGCGUGUAGGCGGACCACUAAGUCUGGUGUGAAAUCCCUCGGCUUAACCGAGGACGUGCAUUGGAUACUGGUGGCCUUGAGUCCUGGAGAGGGUAGCGGAAUUCCCAGUGUAGAGGUGAAAUUCGUAGAUAUUGGGAGGAACACCGGUGGCGAAGGCGGCUACCUGGACAGUGACUGACGCUGAGACGCGAAAGCAU